GGAGCGGGAGCCCGGAGAUGGGUACUGAGACAAGGACCCAGGCCCUACGGGGCGCAGCAGUCGCGAAACCUUUGCAAUACACGAAAGUGUGACAGGGCUAUCCCGAGUGCCAUCCGCUGAGGAAGGCUUUUACCCAGUCUAGAAAGCUGGGGGAAUAAGGAGAGGGCAAGUCUGGUGUCAGCCGCCGCGGUAAUACCAGCUCUCCGAGUGGUGUGGAUGUUUAUUGGGCCUAAAGCAUCCGUAGCUGGCUAGGUAAGUCCCUUGUUAAAUCCACCGAAUUAAUCGUUGGAUCGCGGGGGAUACUGCUUGGCUAGGGGACGAGAGAGGCAAACGGUAUUUUCGGGGUAGGGGUGAAAUCCUAUAAUCCCGGGAAGACCACCAGUGGCGAAGGCUGUUUGCU
rnacentral:rRNA from 1 species